rnacentral:misc_RNA from 1 species
UUUCCGUAGGUGAACCUGCGGAAGGAUCAUUACCGAGUGAGGGUCCCCUUUGCGGGCCCGACCUCCCACCCGUGUCUACCGUACCGUGUUGCUUCGGCGGGCCCGCCAGGGGGGCUCCUGUCCCUGGCCGCCGGGGGGCCAUCUCCCGUGCCUCCGGGCCCGUGCCCGCCGGAGACCCUCGUGAACGCUGUCUUGAACAAAGGUUGCGGUCUGAGUGGAAAACACAAUCGUCAAAACUUUCAACAACGGAUCUCUUGGUUCCG